UACGUAGGGGGCAAGCGUUGUCCGGAUUUAUUGGGCGUAAAGAGCGUGUAGGCGGUUUGGUAGGUCCGUUGUGAAAACUCGAGGCUCAACCUCGAGACGCCGAUGGAAACCAUCAGACUAGAGUCCGGAAGAGGAGAGUGGAAUUCCUGGUGUAGCGGUGAAAUGCGCAGAUAUCGGGAAGAACACCCGUGGCGAAGGCGGCUCUCUGGGACGGUACUGACGCUGAGACGCGAAAGCGUGGGGAGCGAACAGG
rnacentral:rRNA from 1 species